GUGGAAGAGUGCUGCUGCCCUAGGUCAAGCUCUACAUGAAUUAUCAUGUAGUGGGUGGGAGGAUGAAGAGGUGGCAGAGCCUCCGAAGUGUGGAGCGUGAUGAGGAUGGACGGCAGCUCUAAGCCAGCUGAGUUCUUUCAGACUGUUUUCUUCCAGUAUGGCUGUCACAGUAAGAACUAUGUUACCCUGGAGCUGCAAGGUCUGCCUUUGCCCCUGUAUGAGGAAGGCCCAUCUGAGAAGGGAAGCAGAGCAGAGCAGAGUUUAGCUGAGAGAUGGGCAGAGAGAAAGUCCUGAGGAUGUCACUUGAGCUGCUGGAUAUGGCUGAGCCUAAACUAGAUACCCCUAAAACUUCCAAAUUAUGUGAAUCAGUAAAUUCCUAUUUUUGUUUUGUUUUGUUGGUUGGCUGAUUUUUGUUGUUGUUGUUACCUGCAACUGCAAAAAUCCAAACUAAUAUACUGUUUUUCCCUGCCCUGGCUCGUAACUUUGACAGCUUGUGUAAGAUUUUCAUGAGUCUCUGGCUCCCCUGGGUGGCAAAGAGAAUAAAUUCACAUUUCUAGGA